rnacentral:rRNA from 1 species
AGCAGCCGCCGCGGGAAUACGGAGGAUCCAAGCGUUAUCCGGAAUCAUUGGGUUUAAAGGGUCCGUAGGCGGUCUUGUAAGUCAGUGGUGAAAGCCCAUCGCUCAACGGUGGAACGGCUAUUGAUACUGCAGGACUUGAAUUAUUGGGAAGUAACUAGAAUAUGUAGUGUAGCGGUGAAAUGCUUAGAGAUUACAUGGAAUACCAAUUGCGAAGGCAGGUUACUACCAAUUGAUUGACGCUGAUGGACGAAAGCGUGGGUAGCGAACAGGAUUAGAUACCCCGGUAGUCCCUGUCUCUUAUAC